GGAAACAGGUUAAUAUUCCUGUACUUGGUGUUACUGCGAAGGGGGGACGGAGAAGGCUAUGUUAGCCGGGCGACGGUUGUCCCGGUUUAAGCAUGUAGGCGGAGGUUCCAGGUAAAUCCGGUACCUUAUUAACGCUGAGGUGUGAUGACGAGGCACUACGGUGCUGAAGUAACAAAUGCCCUGCUUCCAGGAAAAGCCUCUAAGCAUCAGGUAACAUUAAAUCGUACCCCAAACCGACACAGGUGGUCAGGUAGA
rnacentral:rRNA from 1 species